rnacentral:rRNA from 1 species
AUGAAGCAAGUUGUGCAAAAGUAUGUGGCUCAAUGCAUUGUGUAUCAACAAGCCAAAACAGAGCAUGUUGCUACUGUUGGGGAACGUUGCAGAAAAUUAAAAAUUUUCCUACGGUUUCACCAAGAUCCAUCUAUGAGUUCAUCUAAGCAACGAGUCAAGGGAGAGAGUUUGCAUCUACAUACCACUUGUAGAUCACGAGCGGAAGCUAGCCAAGGGGAUGGUGAUGAUGGAGUCGUACUCGAACGUGAUUCGGAUCACCGAUGUCCAAGUGCUGAAUGGACAGCACCUCCGCGUUCAACACACGUACGGGACGGGAGACGUCUCCUCCUUGAUCCAGCAAGGGGGAAGGAGAGGUUGAGGAAGAUUGCUCCAACGGCAGCACGACGGCGUGGUGUAGUUGGUGCAGCAGUACUCCGACAGGGCUUCGCCAAGCAUAUACGGAGGAGGAGAGGUGUUGGGGAGGGGAGGGGCUGCGCCUUGGCUUGUUAA